rnacentral:rRNA from 1 species
GACGAACGUUGGCGGCGUGCUUAACACAUGCAAGUCGAACGGUAAGGCCCUUCGGGGUACACGAGUGGCGAACGGAGGAGUAACACGUGGGUGAUCUGCCCUGCACUUCGGGAUAAGCCUGGGAAACUGGGGCUAAUUCCGGAUAGGACCACUGCCUGCCUGGGAGGUGGUGGAAAGCUUUUGCGGUGUGGGAUGGGGCCGCGGCCUAUCAGCUUGUUGGGGGGGUGAUGGCCUACCAAGGCGACGACGGGUAGCCGGCCUGAGAGGGUGACCGGCCACACUGGGACUGAGAUACGGCCCAGACUCCUACGGGAGGCAGCAGUGGGGAAUAUUGCACAAUGGGCGCAAGCCUGAUGCAGCGACGCCGCGUGAGGGAUGACGGCCUUCGGGUUGUAAACCUCUUUCAGCACCGACGAAGCGCAAGUGACGGUAGGUGCAGAAGAAGGACCGGCCAACUACGUGCCAGCCGCCGCGGUAA